AGAGUUUGAUCCUGGCUCAGAGUGAACGCUGGCGGCGUGCUCAACACAUGCAAGUCGAACGAGAACGGGCCUAGCUUGCUAGGCUGUCAGCUAAGUGGCGCACGGGUGAGUAAUGUAUAGUUGAUCUGCCCCUUGGAGGGGGAUAGCCAUUGGAAACGAUGAUUAAUACCCCAUACUCCUAUAUGCGUAAGGUAUAUAGGGAAAUGUCUUUUCGCCAAGGGAUGAGACUAUAUGGCAUCAGGUAGUUGGUAGGGUAAUGGCCUACCAAGCCAAUGACGCCUAGCUGGUCUGAGAGGAUGAUCAGCCACACUGGUACUGAGACACGGACCAGACUCCUACGGGAGGCAGCAGUGGGGAAUAUUGCACAAUGGAGGAAACUCUGAUGCAGCAACGCCGCGUGGAGGAUGACGCAUUUCGGUGUGUAAACUCCUUUUAUAUAGGAAGAUAAAGAACGGUACUAUAUGAAUAAGCACCGGCUAACUCCGUGCC
rnacentral:rRNA from 1 species